rnacentral:rRNA from 1 species
AACGAACGCUGGCGGCAGGCUUAACACAUGCAAGUCGAGCGCCCCGCAAGGGGAGCGGCAGACGGGUGAGUAACGCGUGGGAAUCUACCCAUCUCUACGGAAUAACGCAUGGAAACGUGUGCUAAUACCGUAUACGUCCUUCGGGAGAAAGAUUUAUCGGAGAUGGAUGAGCCCGCGUUGGAUUAGCUAGUUGGUGGGGUAAAGGCCUACCAAGGCGACGAUCCAUAGCUGGUCUGAGAGGAUGAUCAGCCACACUGGGACUGAGACACGGCCCAGAAUUCUACGGGAAGGAGGAAUGGGGAAUAAUGGGCAAAGGGGGGAAGGCUUGACCAGGCAUGCCGCGUGGGUGAUGAAGGCCCUAGGGUUGUAAAACUCUUUCACCGGUGGAGAUAAUGACGGUAACCGGAGAAGAAGCCCCGGCUAACUUCGUGCCAGCCGCCGCCGUAACAC